GUGCCAGCAGCCGCGGUAAUACGGAGGAUCCGAGCGUUAUCCGGAUUUAUUGGGUUUAAAGGGUGCGUAGGCGGCACAUUAAGUCAGUGGUGAAAUCUUCAUGCUUAACAUGGGAACUGCCAUUGAUACUGAUGAGCUUGAGUACAGAUGAAGUGGGCGGAAUAUGACAUGUAGCGGUGAAAUGCGUAGAUAUGUCAUAGAACACCGAUCGCGAAGGCAGCUCACUAAGCUGAUACUGACGCUGAUGCACGAAAGCGUGGGGAUCAAACAGGAUUAGAUACCCUGGUAGUCC
rnacentral:rRNA from 1 species